rnacentral:lncRNA from 1 species
CCCAGCUGCCGUCACUUAACUCAGGCUGGGUGCUGCUGCCUGGGUCAGACCAGCUGGGGUCCACAGCCAAGGAGCAAGGAGAGGCUCCCCACUUCCUCAGUGCGGACGGCUGAGCCUCACCUUCCUAGGCGCCACUCUGUCACCUCUCCAUCUGGAAAGAAUUGAGAAGAGCCUGGGUUGUCCCCUGUUCCCAUCCUGUCUUCCGCCUGAGCCCCUGCAGGGAGCCCCUCUGCCCCACCCCACUCUCCCUCCCAAUAAAGCAGACUCUCAGGAGAGACAUCGGACUUCACUCCGACUGGGAAAAAUGGAGGAACUCAUCUCUUAACUCAGGAGAGGCCAAGUCACCCUGCAGAAGAGCAUGUGGCAAGAAACAGCACGGUAGUCAUCUCUGGAAGCUUCAUCUUCCAUACGUAGCACCUGGUCUUCCCAGGUAAAAGAACUGUGCUCAUCGCAGGGGUGAGGGACAAGCACUGUCCCAGGAGUCAAACCAGCUCCGGACUGUCCUGUUCCACCCUGGAACUACCCGGCUGUCACCUACACUGAUAAAGUUGAUGCUAAGUCCCCAAGGCUGCUAGGAGCUCCCCACGUGCUUUAAGGAGCAUUCUAAGGACAGCAGGAGAUCACCCGCUGCUUUGUUCUGCUCUAACAAGCCUCUGCCAAGCGCUGGCUCACUCAUCCAUCCAACAACCAUUCGCCCAGGGCCCACUUGUGCCAUCCCAGAGAGAAACCCACACAGCAGGAGAUGCAGCGUUCCAUGGAAGACGUGGACAGUCACAGAACACUGCACAGAUUAGCAGAACUCCUUCAGCUGCUACAGAAACUCAAGUGAACCAGCGUUCUCACAAAGAGGGAUCUAGCCGCAGGAACAGAGGGAUCCAGGUACUUGACUGCCCUGAGAUGCCCUCUCCACCUU